rnacentral:lncRNA from 1 species
UGACACCAUUCCUUCUGACACCUUCAGCUCUGUCACACAAACUGGCAUUCCCUCUGUCAAGGGACAGGCAUCCUUCUCUGAGUCUUCUUCCAGGGCCUUGUCCCCUCACACCCUAGGAGCCAUACCUGUCCCCAUGCAAACAGCAGAUUGCUGCCAUGUGAUUUCCACAGUUUCUGACCUGCUCUCUUGCUCACCACAUCCAGCUAAACCUAGGAAGCCCAUCCUCCUCCCAGGAACUUCCAGGGGAGCCCUGCAGAAACUGUGAGGAAUAUCUAAGCAUUGCAUUUCACACCAGAGAGAGACACAGACUUCUGCAGUCAGGAAUCCUCAUGGGAGAAAGCACAGAGAGACUUCAGCAAGCCCUUGGUCUACUGAGAACUCACACCACUCUUUUUUAAGAACUUCCUCUUUCUCUGGGGCCUUUUAAAAGUUAUUCCUGAUCAGCUCUUAAUUACCAUCAGUGAGAGUAUAAGAAGAGGAAGGAAGCCGACUGCCCUCCUUCUUCUGUGGCCCGGCUCUUUUUGGUCUGAUGAGCUACUGGAUCUGCAACUGAAGCUUGGUGCUGAGGUUCCAUUGAGCUGACCGAUGUUGUAAUCAUCAAAUCUCAUCUUUCAACUUUGGCUUCAGAGAGACAAUGUGUGGGGUUCUCAGUGAUGCCUGGAGAAAGUGGUACCCUCUAUUUCUCUGUUAUCUUUCCUGACCAUAUGCUGCCUCUUACAUGAAACGUGUUUUGUUCAUUGAGGAAGCAGCCUGUUUUCACGGUUUGUAAUUUCUUAAGAACUAGGCUGUGUACAACCAAAACACCAAAACCUCCUCACCAAAUUUUAAAACUCUUCCAGAAAUAGUAAUAAGCGAGCCUGCCUUCAGUCUCUUUUGAGUGUGUCUUCAAACCAUGUCAGUCCUAUUAGGAAUCCCAUGUUUCUUUAUGCACACAGAGGACUUUCACAGAAUAGAGUUCUUAGUAUAGUACUUGUUUGAGGCAUAUGGACUAUAGACUCCAACACCUGUGAGCUUUGUGUAUCACAGUCCAUCUGAGUCUGGGUAAAAUUAAGUAGGAGCAAAGUUCCAGCCCAAGACUCAAACUUUGAUGAUCUACAGUUAAGAAGUCAUCCAAUGGCUGAGUACCUUUCCAAACAAGGCCUCCGUGCACAGUGGCAGGCCUCACAUAAUUCAUCCACAGGGCAAAUCAUUUAACACCGCUUUGCUUUCUAUGAUAAAAUUAUAUUUGGUCAUAGUCACAGGAUGAAGUAGAUUACAAUUACAGUCAGAAAUGAAGAACAGACAGUGAAAACUUUCUUCUAUUGAGCUUAAAAUAAAUGCUAAUGCCAGUAAAAACCA